AGCGGAAUUCGUGAGACCAAAAAAAGUCGGAUCUCAGGUUAGUGCAAAUCACUCAGGAGGAGAAGGGCUUGCCUUCACGGCAAGGAUAAGCUUCUUGUAUGAGUGCUGGUGUCCAGACAGUGGCAAAGGGGAACAGCACCACUUAAAGAGACAGAGACUCAUAUACACCAGCCCUGGUACAUACAUAGAAGGAUUGCCCAAAACAGUGCUAUGCCAGAAGCAGAGAUAAAGAGACACAGAGUGAGCUCUGUACCCUAAGGCUCUGGUGUCCCUGA
rnacentral:sRNA from 1 species